ensembl:snoRNA
UGCUGUGUGGAGUAAAUUAGAUAAAAGGGGUGAGCAAAGUAGCUACAUGGAGACACGGGUUAUGCUUCCAUCAUAGUAAUUUUAUUGCAAUGGUGAUGAUGAGACCUGAGACAUUU